rnacentral:miRNA from 1 species
UAUGUAUAUGUGUAUGUGUUCAUGUACAUGUAUUUUCGUGCAUAUGUAUACAUAUAUGUACAUACCCCU